UACGGAGGGUGCGAGCGUUAAUCGGAAUUACUGGGCGUAAAGCGCGCGUAGGCGGUUUAUUAAGUCGGAUGUGAAAGCCCCGGGCUCAACCUGGGAAUUGCACCCGAUACUGGUCGACUGGAGUGCGAGAGAGGGAGGUAGAAUUCCACGUGUAGCGGUGAAAUGCGUAGAUAUGUGGAGGAAUACCGGUGGCGAAGGCGGCCUCCUGGCUCGACACUGACGCUGAGGUGCGAAAGCGUGGGGAGCAAACAGGAUUAGAUACCCCGGUA
rnacentral:rRNA from 1 species